rnacentral:SRP_RNA from 1 species
ACAGCAGGGUGUGCGAAGGCGGAAGCAGCCUCUGUUUGGCGUGUACCUCUCCUCAGGGAGGGGAGCAGGGUG